rnacentral:hammerhead_ribozyme from 1 species
GUACUGCUGAGGCGUCCCAAAUUAGGACGAAACAGCUGUCCAGUAC